CGCGCAGAAAAGAAACGGGGAUCAUAUUGUCCUUUAUAAUUGACGACGCAGGAAAAGCGCGACCUGGUUCUCUUGUCCCGUGGGGAUCCGCGUGUUUGGAGUAACCAUGCUUCUGUCGAGGUUCGCCCAGCGAGUGUGAAGGGCACACGAAGCCAGAGCUGCCCGAGUGUGUCUUUUCUCCAUAUCUACACUCGUUCUGCAGCAACGUGUAUAGUUACAGUUCCCAGCUAUUUUUACCAUCUUCUGAGGGGCUGAAUAAAUCCGAGGAGUACAGGCUGUCCCUGCACCCAGGUGGGCAGACAGAAU
rnacentral:lncRNA from 1 species